GACGAACGCUGGCGGCGUGCCUAAUACAUGCAAGUCGAACGCAUUUUCUUUCACCGUAGCUUGCUACACCGAAAGAAAAUGAGUGGCGAACGGGUGAGUAACACGUGGGUAACCUGCCCAUCAGCGGGGGAUAACACUUGGAAACAGGUGCUAAUACCGCAUAAUUCCAUUUACCGCAUGGUAAAUGGAUGAAAGGCGCUUUUGCGUCACUGAUGGAUGGACCCGCGGUGCAUUAGCUAGUUGGUGGGGUAACGGCCUACCAAGGCUGCGAUGCAUAGCCGACCUGAGAGGGUGAUCGGCCACACUGGGACUGAGACACGGCCCAGACUCCUACGGGAGGCAGCAGUAGGGAAUCUUCGGCAAUGGGCGCAAGUCUGACCGAGCAACGCCGCGUGAGUGAAGAAGGUUUUCGGAUCGUAAAACUCUGUUGUUAGAGAAGAACAAGGAUGAGAGUGGAAAGUUCAUCCCUUGACGGUAUCUAACCAGAAAGCCACGGCUAACUACGUG
rnacentral:rRNA from 1 species